rnacentral:rRNA from 1 species
GCUUACGGCCAUACCACCCUGAACACUCCCGCUCUCGUCUGAUCCUCGGCAGCCAACCAGGGUCGGGCCUGGUCAGUACUUGGAGUGGAGACAUCCUGGGAAUACCAGGUGCUGUAAGCU